GACGAACGCUGGCGGCGUGCCUAAUACAUGCAAGUAGAACGCUGAAGGAGGAGCUUGCUUCUCUGGAUGAGUUGCGAACGGGUGAGUAACGCGUAGGUAACCUGCCUGGUAGCGGGGGAUAACUAUUGGAAACGAUAGCUAAUACCGCAUAAGAGUAGAUGUUGCAUGACAUUUGCUUAAAAGGUGCAAUUGCAUCACUACCAGAUGGACCUGCGUUGUAUUAGCUAGUUGGUGAGGUAACGGCUCACCAAGGCAACGAUACAUAGCCGACCUGAGAGGGUGAUCGGCCACACUGGGACUGAGACACGGCCCAGACUCCUACGGGAGGCAGCAGUAGGGAAUCUUCGGCAAUGGACGGAAGUCUGACCGAGCAACGCCGCGCGAGUGAAGAAGGUUUUCGGAUCGUAAAGCUCUGUUGUAAGAGAAGAACGAGUGUGAGAGUGGAAAGUUCACACUGUGACGGUAUCUUACCAGAAAGGGACGGCUAACUACGUG
rnacentral:rRNA from 1 species